UAAACACAGAUUUUUUUUCUCAUUUACAGUAUUAAUGCCUUAAUUCAAACAAUUGGGUCAUCAUGACCUAUAUUAAAAUUUUUAAUUACUCUAAUUCAAUUUUGCAUUUUGGAUAAAUGUGGUGAGUUCAUUUGAUAUUGUCAAGUUUUAAAAAGUCAUGUGACUGUUAUAUAUAGAUGAAUACAUGUGUGUCAAACAAAGUUUAGUAUCAUGUAAAUAAUGUGUAAACUAUUCUUUUUUACGGUACAUAUUGCUGACAUUGAUAUAUGUUGUUAGUCUUUUAUUGGGAUAAAGAUUGCAAUCAUACAAAGAAAAGCUUUAUGUGGCUGCUUUUAAAAAAUCAAUAAUGUCAUUGUUAAAGUUAUAGUUAAAAAUUGAGUUAUCUUCCUUUGUCCAUUAUUGUAGAUGACCAAUUCAUAGUGUAACACAAUGCAAAGUUUAAUUUUCAGCUCUAAAUGAAGAAUUAAUGAAAUAUUUCUACCCUCUAGUGCUCAUGACAAGCGCUUUUAUUUGUAAUUAUGCAUUUUAUUUGCACAUCUUUAAUAAAGCGUACAUGUACAUUAUUCAUAUAAUUUGUUGAAAACUGAGAUAAUUUUGCUUAAAUGCUGUUAGAACCACAAUACUUACCUUGAUUAAGUUCAAAAAUUUCAAAUCAGCUGAAAAAAUCAUAAUUUUCCAUUAAUCAUGCUAAUUGUGAAUCUAUUUUAGUGUAUGGCCAGGGGGGGGGGGUAUUUAUUGCUCUUUGAAUAAGUACUGGAUCAGUCUUGUUAUUCUUUUUAAAUUUGAAUUUUUAUUUGUUGCUGGUUGUUUAAGUCUGUAUAGUGUUCUUAAAUUUGCAUUUAGACAAAGCAAAUAUAUUUACUGCAAUUACUCAGUUGUACAUGAAGAAAAAAAAUGGUAAUUUUGUAAGAGGGGAAAACUUUUUCACAAAAUUAUUUCAAUGAAUGGGAGAUAACUUGCUGGAUGUUACCAAAAUCUCCAAAUUUAACAAUAAAUUGUGAAUCGAAUGGAUUCAUUAUUUGUUUAGGACUUUACUUUUGUAAAAUACUGUAAAUUCAUGUUUUGCAUUUAAGUCUAUGUUUUAGUCAAUUGCUUUCAUUAAUUUUAACUAUUUGAAUAUUAUUUGUUUUACAAGUGUUACAAGUGUGUUCUGUAUUAAAAAUAUUUCUCUACUUUGUGAAUACUCUAGGACUUGCCAUUGAUAAUUGAAUAUUCUUAUGUAAAUAUUUAAGAUAAUGGUUAGCUUAA
rnacentral:lncRNA from 1 species